rnacentral:rRNA from 1 species
GUCCGCCUGCCCUGUGACUAUAUGUUUAACGGCCGCGGUAUUUUGACCGUGCGAAGGUAGCGCAAUCACUUGUCCUUUAAAUGAGGACCUGUAUGAAUGGCACGACGAGGGCUUAACUGUCUCCUCUUUUAGGUCAAUGAAAUUGAUCUCUCCGUGCAGAAGCGGAGAUAUAACCAUAAGACGAGAAGACCCUGUGGAGCUUCAGACACCAAAACAGACCAUGUUAAAGACCCUAAAACAAAAGACUAAACUUAAUGUCCCCUGCCUUGAUGUCUUCGGUUGGGGUGACCGAGGAGAAGAACACAACCUCCAUGCGGAAUAGGAGUACUACUCCCACAACCAAGAACCCCCGUUCUAACCACCAGAAUUUCUGACCCUACGAUCCGGCAACGCCGAUUAACGAACCAAGUUACCCCAGGGAUAACAGCGCAAUCCCCUUUUAGAGCCCCUAUCAACAAGGGGGUUUACGACCUCGAUGUUGGAUCAGGACAUCCUAAUGGCGCAGCCGCUAUUAAGGGUUCGUUUGUUCAACGAUUAAAGUCCUACGUGAUCUG